rnacentral:lncRNA from 1 species
CCCCUUGUAUAUAUAAACUAUAAAAUGCAAUUUGGUCAUCUUCUGGACUUACAAAUCGCGACAAACAGCAUGAUUGGCCAUUUUUAUAUAUGAAAUAAGUGGGGAAGAGCGAUCACUAAGAUUAUUCAUCAAUUUCACAGAAACACAUGCGAGUUUAUUUUGCUUUCAUAGCCAUCAGAACUCUCAUCAGUCAAAUUAGUUGGCAGGAAUUCAGUUCAAUGGUUUUGUUUCCAAAAGUUCACGGGGGAAGACAAUUUAAUCAAACAAUCUAGGAGCUUACCUGUAUACCCUGUGUUAAGUUGAGGAACACGCAGAUGAGAAUAACCUUCCACGGGUCAGAAGCGUACUUCUCCUGCAAGAGAUUAUGAGGAGAGCGUGGCGGUGAUACCAGCUGGUCCAAGGGAACGCGCCGGUAUUUGUCUGAGCGCUUCUCAGCAGCGGUAAACACUGGUCGUCGUUUGCUGAUCCUCGUCUUCUUCUCAGGGGUUGUCUUUUCUUUUACAAUUUGUUUCUUCUGUGAGCCCGAGGUGGAGCCUGAAGCUGAAUCUUCCUUCUUUGACUUGGACUCCACAGAAUUGUUAGCCUUGAAAGCCUUGGAGGUCUCUUGGUCCUCUUCUGGUAGAGCUUUGGUUCCUUGUAGCUGAACACAGCAAGUCUGGCUGGGGUCAAAUGGCAAUCGUGACUUGCCAGAUAGUUUCCUUUGCUUCUUCUCCCUCGUCUUGUUUUCAGGGUUUUCCUUUACUUCUACACUAACUUUCUCUUGUGAUCCUGAACCUGAAUCUUGCUGCUUUGUCUUGGACGCGAGAGUGGUGUCAGGCCUGGAAGCCUCAUUUGCAGCAAGCUGAGAUGACUCAAAUGAUGAGUAACCCCGAGGUGGCAACCUGGCCACACGAUCAGGGGUUCUGGGAAGUGGGGGUCUGCGAUCUUCGCAGACAGGGUUAUAGCGGAACUGGUCGAAGAAUGCACUGUAAGGUGGUCGGUCAGCGUUCUGCUCCGUGCAACUGGCAACAAAAUUGCUGAAGGGCACAAAGCCUUCGGGCAGCAACUUUGGCUGCUUUCUUGCCUCCUGGAUAAGCUCACGCUUGCUGAGGACACGUACACGGGGUUUCUUGCCGUUGCUUUUUUUAAUACCCUUGCAGCCAUCAUUCUCUCCCUCUUCUUCUAGUGGAGUUUUGGCUCCUUGUGAUUGAACACAGCGACUCUGGCAAGGGUCAAGUGGCAAUGUUGCCCUCCUCUGCUUCUGUUUCUUGGUCACCUUCACCUCCUGCUCCUGAACUGGAGUUUCAGCAACAACGGAUGUAGGAGAUGACAGUAUCUGCUCCACACGCUUGCGCUCCUUUUUAAUCGUCGCGGUCAUGGCCUCCUCCCCCUGCUUUUCCUCCAAGGUGGGAUUUUGGGCAAAAGACAGUGCAGCCACCUUCUGCUCCUUACGCAUCUUUCUCUUCCCUAUCUUCACCGCCGCCCCCGCCUCUCCCAACGUUAUAAUUUCGGGAGCAGGUGACUGAAGGAAUGGGGCAGCGAGUUUGGGCACGGAGACAUGGCUGGGGUGAAGUGGCAACGGCAAGUUGCUGGAUGGUUCCAGCCCCCUCCUCUGCUUCCGUUUCUUGGUCACCUUCACCUCCUGCUCCUGAAUUGGAGUUUCAGCAGCAACAAAUGUCUGCUGCACGCACUUGCACUUUUUCUUCUUCUUCGCCAUCAUGGCCUCCUCCCCAUGCUCCUCCUCAAAUGUAGGAUUUUGGGCAAAAGGCAACACAUCCAACUUGUGCUCUUUACUAGGCCUGUUCCUCUCCCUUAUCAUCGCCGCGGCCUCUGCCAACGUUAGGAUUUCGGGCGCCGGGGGCUGAAGGAGUGGGGCAGCUGGUAGAGGGUUACAGGCAUGGCCGAGGUGAAAUGGCAAUGGCGAGUUGCCUGAUGGCUCCUGGGAUUGGUCAGAUGGUUGUUUCUUGAUCAUCUUCAUCUCCUGCUCCCGAAUUGGGGCCUCAGCAGCAACAUAUGUAGAAGGAGAUAGAAACCUCUGCUCCAAGCGCUUGUGCUCCUUCUUCUUCUUCUUCCCUCGCUCCUCCUCAAAGGUAGGAUUUGGGGCAAAAGGCAACACAUCCAACUUGAGCUCUUUACUAGGCAUGUUCUUCUCCCUUAUCAUCCCCGCAGCCUCUGCCAACGUUAGGAUUUCGGGCGCCGGGGGCUGAAGGCGUGGGGCAGCUGGUAGAGGGUUACAGGCAUGGCCGAGGUGAAGUGGCAACGGCGAGUUGCCUGAUGGCUCCUGGGAUUGGUCGGAUGAUUGUUUCUUGAUCAUCUUCAUCUCCUGCUCCCGAAUUGGGGCCUCAGCAGCAACAGCUGUAGAAGGAGAUAGAAACCUCUGCUCCACACGCUUGUGCUUCUUCUUCUUCCCUCGCUCCUCCUCAAAGGUAGGAUUUGGGGCAAAAGGAAGCGCCUCCACCUUGUGCUCUUUACUAGGCCUGUUCAUCUCCCUUAUCAUCGCCGCCGCCUCUGUCAACGUUAGGAUUUCGGGCGCCGGGGGCUGAAGGAGUGGGGCAGCUGGUAGAGGGUUACAGGCAUGGCCGAGGUGAAGUGGCAAUGGCGAGUUGCCUGAUGGCUCCUGGGAUUGGUCAGAUGGUUGUUUCUUGAUCAUCUUCAUCUCCUGCUCCCGAAUUGGGGCCUCAGCAGCAACAUAUGUAGAAGGAGAUAGAAACCUCUGCUCCAAGCGCUUGUGCUCCUUCUUCUUCUUCUUCCCUCGCUCCUCCUCAAAGGUAGGAUUUGGGGCAAAAGGCAACACAUCCAACUUGAGCUCUUUACUAGGCAUGUUCUUCUCCCUUAUCAUCCCCGCAGCCUCUGCCAACGUUAGGAUUUCGGGCGCCGGGGGCUGAAGGCGUGGGGCAGCUGGUAGAGGGUUACAGGCAUGGCCGAGGUGAAGUGGCAACGGCGAGUUGCCUGAUGGCUCCUGGGAUUGGUC